UAAGGACCUCCUCAGCAGUUCGAAGCU
rnacentral:piRNA from 1 species